GUACACGCUGUGACUAGCAUAUCAAUAAGCGGAGGAAAAGAAACUAACAAGGAUUCCCCUAGUAACGGCGAGUGAAGCGGGAAGAGCUCAAAUUUGAAAUCUUAAAGGGUUUCCCUUUACGAAUUGUAGUUUAAAGAAGUGUUUUCUGUUGAGGUUUUGGUAGAAGUUCUUUGGAAUAGGACAUCAUAGAGGGUGAGAAUCCCGUAUUUGACCUUUACUUUCAACUUUGUGAUACACUUUCAAAGAGUCGGAUUGUUUGGGAAUGCAGUCCAAAAUGGGUGGUAAAUUUCAUCUAAAGCUAAAUAUUGGCGAGAGACCGAUAGCGAACAAGUACCGUGAGGGAAAGAUGAAAAGAACUUUGAAAAGAGAGUUAAACAGUACGUGAAAUUGUCAAAAGGGAAGCGUUUGACACCAGUGUUGUUUUUCUGAAAAUCAAUUAAAGAACUGUUUAUGCUAAGUUGUUUAGACUUUAUCAGCUAACUGUUUAGUUUUGAGCUUUUCUUUAAUGCACUUUUCAGUUAACAAGUCAACAUCAAUUUCUUUUGCUGUAAAAAAGCUUGAGGAAGGUGGCUUGCGAUUCGUCUUAAGUGUUUAUAGCCUCUUGCCUAUGCAGUCGGAGAGAUUGAGGUCUGCAGCGUAGAUCCUUCGGGGCUAAAUGCAUUUGUGCUAAGUUAUAGCAUUUUAUAGACAACUUGUUGACUAUGAUUUGUCUUGUAGCUUACUCGCUUAUGUUAUUUUACCUACGCUUAGGAUGUUGAAGAUGUAGCACAUCAU
rnacentral:rRNA from 1 species